rnacentral:lncRNA from 1 species
UUUCUUACUGCCGUAAGUCCACAGUCAUCCUCCACGCCAAGUUGGAAGAUUGAGACCAAGUAUUCAACAAGAGUGCUCACUGGAAACUGGACAGAAGAGAGGAGGAAGUUCACAAAAGCCACUGAGAAAACCCCCCAGACCAUUUACAGAAAAGAGUACAUCCCCUUCCCAGGCCACAGACCUGACCAGAUCUCCAGGUGGUACAGCAAGAGGAGAGUUGAGGGGCUCCCAUACAAACACCUGAUCACCCACCACCAGGAGCCCUCACAGCGCUAUCUGAUCAGCACCUACGACGACCAUUACAACCGGCAUAACUAUCACCCAGGCUUGCCGGAGCUCCGCACAUGGAACAGACAUAAGCUGCUGUGGCUCCCAGAGAAAGCCGACUUCCCUCUACUCGGUCCCCCUACAAACUACGGACUCUACGAACAGAUGAAGCAGAAAUGGCUCCCACCACCAGAGGUCACCCUCAGAGAGAGCAUUUACACUUCCUCCUACCCCAGACCACCAGCAGGUGCCAUGUCCCAGAGGGAGCAUGCGAUUCCGGUGCCUCCCCCUCGCCUGCAGCCUGUCCCACACUUCUGA